rnacentral:rRNA from 1 species
AGAGUUUGAUCAUGGCUCAGGAUGAACGCUAGCGACAGGCUUAACACAUGCAAGUCGAGGGGCAGCACAAUGUAGCAAUACACGGGUGGCGACCGGCGCACGGGUGAGUAACGCGUAUGCAACUUGCCUAUCAGAGGGGGAUAACCCGUCGAAAGACGGACUAAUACCGCAUGAAACAGGGGCCCCGCAUGGGGAUAUUUGUUAAAGAUACAUCGCUGAUAGAUAGGCAUGCGUUCCAUUAGGUAGUUGGCGGGGCAACGGCCCACCAAGCCGACGAUGGAUAGGGGUUCUGAGAGGAAGGUCCCCCACACUGGUACUGAGACACGGACCAGACCCCUACGGGAGGCAGCAGUGAGGAAUAUUGGUCAAUGGGCGAGAGCCUGAACCAGCCAAGUCGCGUGAGGGAUGACGGCCCUACGGGUUGUAAACCUCUUCUUAUAAGGGAAUAAAGGACAUCACGUGUGGUGUUUUGCAUGUACCUUAUGAAUAAGCAUCGGCUAACUCCGUGCCAGCAGCCGCGGUAAUACGGAGGAUGCGAGCGUUAUCCGGAUUCAUUGGGUUUAAAGGGUGCGUAGGUUGCCGAUUAAGUCAGCGGUGAAAGUCAGUGGCUCAACCAUUGAGCUGCCGUUGAAACUGGUUGGCUUGAGUACGUACGGGGCAGGCGGAAUGCGUGGUGUAGCGGUGAAAUGCAUAGAUAUCACGCAGAACCCCGAUCGCGAAGGCAGCCUGCCAGGCCGUGACUGACACUGAUGCACGAAAGCGUGGGUAUCGAACAGGAUUAGAUACCCUGGUGGUCCACGCAGUAAACGAUGAUCACUAGCUGUUUGCGAUAGAAUGUAAGCGGCACAGCGA